GACGAACGUUGGCGGCGUGCUUAACACAUGCAAGUCGAACGGAAAGGCCUUUUCGGAGGUACUCGAGUGGCGAACGGGUGAGUAACACGUGGGUGAUCUGCCCUGCACUCUGGGAUAAGCCUGGGAAACUGGGUCUAAUACCGGAUAGGACCGCACUUUAGUGUGUGUGGUGGAAAGUUUUUUCGGUGUAGGAUGAGCCCGCGGCCUAUCAGCUUGUUGGUGGGGUAAUGGCCUACCAAGGCGGCGACGGGUAGCCGGACUGAGAGGGUGGUCGGCCACAUUGGGACUGAGAUACGGCCCAGACUCCUACGGGAGGCAGCAGUGGGGAAUAUUGCACAAUGGGCGCAAGCCUGAUGCAGCGACGCCGCGUGGGGGAUGACGGCCUUCGGGUUGUAAACUCCUUUCGCCAGGGACGAAGCGUUUUGUGACGGUACCUGGAGAAGAAGCACCGGCUAACUACGUG
rnacentral:rRNA from 1 species